rnacentral:rRNA from 1 species
GAUGAACGCUGGCGGCGUGCCUAAUACAUGCAAGUCGAGCGAACAGACGAGGAGCUUGCUCCUCUGACGUUAGCGGCGGACGGGUGAGUAACACGUGGAUAACCUACCUAUAAGACUGGGAUAACUUCGGGAAACCGGAGCUAAUACCGGAUAAUAUAUUGAACCGCAUGGUUCAAUAGUGAAAGACGGUUUUGCUGUCACUUAUAGAUGGAUCCGCGCCGCAUUAGCUAGUUGGUAAGGUAACGGCUUACCAAGGCGACGAUGCGUAGCCGACGUGAGAGGGUGAUCGGCCACACUGGAACUGGGACACGGUCCAGACUCCUACGGGAGGCAGCAGUAGGGAAUCUUCCGCAAUGGGCGAAAGCCUGACGGAGCAACGCCGCGUGAGUGAUGAAGGUCUUCGGAUCGUAAAACUCUGUUAUUAGGGAAGAACAAAUGUGUAAGUAACUAUGCACGUCUUGACGGUACCUAAUCAGAAAGCCACGGCUAACUACGUG